rnacentral:lncRNA from 1 species
GUCGGCUACUAGCAGUUUACCAACCUCUUCGUCGAUGGUCCGCUGUCACUCAGGAAUGAAGGUUCUCUUCUUUUGUCUCACUGAUUUGUAGUCGGGAUCAACAUUUAGUCGAUGGAUAAUGACUUCUGGAGGGAUGCCCGACAUGUCCGAGAUGGACCAAGUGAAAACAUCGACAUUCUCUCUCAGGAAGUUGACAAGCUUCUCUCUCAGUUCGUCGCCCAAAGAAGAUCGGACUUGG